CCAAAGGUCGUAGGUUCGAAUCCCACUGUGGCCGGGCAUAUUUUUCAAGCUCGCCCGGUGUGGAUAUGCACUCAGAGUAACAUCACAAACAUAUUAUUCACCUGAGUACACAACACCAGCACAGAAAAAAAUUCAUAUUACAAGAACACAUUGGUAUUGAAGGAACUAGAUACUGUUCCGAAAUAUCACUUACUCGAACCGUCCUGACCGCGUAGCUCAGUUGGAAGAGCAUUGGGCUAGUAUUCCAAAGGUCGUAGGUUCGAAUCCCACCGUGACCUGGCAUAUUUUUCAAGCUCGCCCGGUGUGGAUAUGCACUCAGAGUAACAUCGCAAACAUAUUAAAUUCACCUGAGUACACAACACCAAC